GGUGAAGGUCCCCUUGGGGCCAAGAGGGAAGCCGGGUGUAAAUCCCGCGCAAUCCCGUUGCUGUAAACGCCGAGCGUCCGCCCUGGCCACUGGUUUUCCGGGAAGGCGGCGGUGCGCCAUGACGCAAAGCCAGAACACCUGCCUUCAC
rnacentral:ncRNA from 1 species